UACGGAGGGUGCGAGCGUUAAUCGGAAUUACUGGGCGUACAGCGCGCGUAGGUGGCUAGGUAAGACGGGUGUGAAAUCCCCGGGCUCAACCUGGGAACGGCAUCCGUAACUGUCUAGCUAGAGUACGGGAGAGGAAGGUAGAAUUCCCGGUGUAGCGGUGAAAUGCGUAGAGAUCGGGAGGAAUACCAGUGGCGAAGGCGGCCUUCUGGACUGAUACUGACACUGAGGUGCGAAAGCGUGGGUAGCAAACAGG
rnacentral:misc_RNA from 1 species